rnacentral:rRNA from 1 species
UACGUAGGGCGCAAGCGUUGUCCGGAAUUAUUGGGCGUAAAGAGCUCGUAGGCGGUCUGUCAAGUCGGAUGUGAAAUCCCCGGGCUCAACCUGGGAACUGCAUUCGAAACUGGCAGGCUAGAGUCUUGUAGAGGGGGGUAGAAUUCCAGGUGUAGCGGUGAAAUGCGUAGAGAUCUGGAGGAAUACCGGUGGCGAAGGCGGCCUUCUGGACCAGUACUGACGCUCAUGCACGAAAGCGUGGGGAGCAAACAGG